GAAGUGCUGUUGCAAGAGUUCUUUUGUUCGGAGUAAAAUUUAUUCUUUUGUUGCAAUUUGAAGUGAGAUGUGAACCAUGUUUUGGCAAUCGCGGGACGAUGCUGAUUAGCCGAACUUCAACAGCGCAUACAGAUCUCACUCGCUCUAAUUAAGAGAAUUCCAUCACUUCCCACCCCCUUCUUCCUGGCAUCCCGUGUUCUGCGCCGCUGCAGCCGGCUGCAGCCAAAGUGGUCAAGCUGAAUUCGCCACCGGCCCUCCUCGGCAGCACCAGUAGCAAUCACCACCUCAUUCGCCAUCCUGCGCCAGCAGCCCCCUUUGCCACGAUGGAUCAGCAGCAGUACUGCCUCAAAUGGAGCAACUACUCGUCGAACCUGGCGGCGGCCUUCUCCAACCUGUUCGACUCGGCGACGCUGACGGACGUCACGCUGGUCUGUGGAGGAACCGUCUUCAACGCCCACAAGGUCAUCCUGGCGGCGUGCUCGAAAAACUUUGCCGACCUGUUUGAGCGGGCUCCGGUCGGCACCGGCCAGAUCUGCGUGAUGCUGGAGGCCACAUCCGCCGACAACAUGCACGCCCUGCUCGAGUUCAUGUACAAGGGCGAGGUGCACGUGUCCCAGAAGGCGCUGGAGAGCUUCCUCAAGGCGGCCGAGAAUUUGCAGGUCAAAGGUCUCACGACGGAGCACGGGCGGUUCGCCAGUGCAAACGCCGCCUCCAGCCAGCCCCAGCAGCAGCAACAACAGCAGCAACAGCAGCCGUCGUCGUUCCACGAGUCGUCCUCCUCAAACAACCUGCCAUCGCCGGCGUCCCGACGGGCGCAACGCAACUCCCUGUCGGCAUCGCUCGAGUCCAUCAACCGGGUCGUCAAGAACGAACAGAACGCCAACAGUGGCAACUCCGGCGUAGACCGGGGCGGACCGGACGACGGGCCGGACGGCCCGGGUGGUAGACGCCGCGGUGGCUCGACCACGCCCAGCUUCUCCUCCUACCUGCAGCCGUCGUAUCUGCCCCAGCCGUACGAAUCGUCCCGCAAACGCUCGAUGCGCAGCCCAUUCUACGAACCCCACCAGGAGGCGACCGCUCGCGGCAGUGUACUGCGCGACGGCAAGGCCAGCAUCGGCAACGACAGUCCAGUGAGCGGCAGCAAAAACUACCGGCCCUCGAGCAGCGGUUCGUCGGCGGCACCCACGGAAGCGGACACGGCACACACGGACCGGGAUUCACCGCAGCAGUCAAAUCGCUACGAGAACCACAGCCCCAGCACGACCCACCACGGCAACGGUAACGGACCAGUCUCCUCGAACACCCUGGAACGUGACGAACGAAGCGAGCGGGCACUCUCCGAGGACGACAAGCUCAAGAUCGACAGCAGGGAGGGUAACGAGGCCGGUGCCGAGGAUCUGCGAGUGAAGAUGGAGAUGCGACCGAUCCAGUCGCCGCUGACGUCGUCCGCCCCGCCCACGCCCACCACCCCCGUCGGCUUCAUCAACGUGAAGGGCGGUCUGCCCGGAGGUCUGGACGGAACGAUGCCCGCGGUCGACAUGCUGGGAAUUCUGAGCGCCACCCGGGAAAGCGUGACCACGGCUGACGGUUCCCUUCCCCCAGGCAAGAAGCUGCAGUGCCCCCUGUGCGACCGCCAGUACGGCUACGAGACGAACCUGCGCGCCCACAUCCGCCAGCGGCACCAGGGCAUCCGCGUCCCGUGUCCCUACUGUUCGCGAACCUUCACCCGGAACAACACCGUGCGGCGACACAUUGCCCGCGAACACAAACAGCAGACGGCGUUCAUGCCGAACCAGCUGCACAGUUAAGGUGGGGGCUUGGGACCCGCCGACGGAAGGAAGUUCGAAAACUGCCAGCAGAACAUCAGCCAAAAAAAAAACUCGCGAGCAAAACAAAGCACACACACACACUCGAAAGAAAAUCUAAAGUGAUAAAGUGAAGAGAGAGAGAGAGAAAUCCGAAAUUUAUUUCGCAAAUAAGGCAAACUUGGAGAUAAAUUGAAAGAAGGAAGAAGAAGGAGAGCAAGUUCGAAGUGAAAUUGGCAAAGCCGAAACAGCUUGCUUGCUUGGUGUCAAACCAGCAAAAACCCCUUUUCGGCGAAAAAUACAUCUCAAAAUUUAACCCCCACUAAAAAGAAGCAAAAAAAUCGAAGAAGAAGACGAAUCAAACGAAUCGAAAGGACUUUGUUUUUCUGAGUUUUUGUUUGCCGAAUCAGCAGUAGCGAAAUGAGAGAAUGGAAGAAAAAUCAAAUCAAAACAAAUGUGCUCAUAUUAACGUGUAAGUUUGACGUAUCGCAAAAACAGCUGACGCAAAUCAAAAAGCGACGGCGAGAAUAGAGAUCCGCAUUGGAUCUAGCUCGCGUGCGCGAGAUUUCCUCACACAAAACACACACAUAAAGAAACGCAAAAAGUUGCAUUUAAAAAAGUUUUGUUUUAGUUUAAACGAACCGAAGUUACCCGCAAAGCGAUUAGGAUUGACAGAUGCUAGCUUACACGUUUAUUUUCUUUUACAAUCUUUGUUAAGUCAACAAAAACGGGCAAUAUUACACGCUAAUCGCGACAGCGCGAAAACAACGCUAUUUAACUUAUUUAAGCCAUAUUUAUUUUACACAAACAAUUAUUUGCAACCAUCGGAAGCUUCGUUUGUGUGAGGAAGGUUUCAGCUUGCAGCGUUUAGCUCAAUUUUAAACGAAAGAUACAAACACGCAGACACAGUUUGGGCGGAUCAACGGGCAUUUCAUGGUAUGAGUUGUUCAUAGUUAAAUGGGUAUAAAGAUGCAGUUAAUAAAAAAGCAAACAACAAAUAGGUGAAAUAUGGAACAAUAAUAGUGAUAUUUAACAAGCAAAACAAGUAUGGCAAAGGGAACAUCGAAUUCCCUGUGCUGAAAUAGUCUCAAAACCCGCUCCGUUUUAAUUAUAGAAUGGUCUGUUAGAAUUCAAUAGAAAAUGACAAAAAGGUACACUUUUUAACACCCCCCCCCCCUUUCUCCAUAAUGCAAUUGACAGAAUGAGAGUUAAAUUUGAAGGUUAGCUUUUCAAUACUUGUGACAAUUUUGCAUUUUUCAGCGAUUUUCAAAAUAUCUUUGUCGAAAAUUAAAUGUUGACUUUUCUCAGUGCAUCAUCAAACAACUUUAUCAUUACAACACGUUCAUUGAAAACUACUCAGAUUUCGAUUUUAUUCUAAAACGAGCUGUCAGAAUUGCAUUGCUAAUCUUUUAGAAAAUUGGCAAAAUUGAAUUCUUUCUAAAUGUUGUUGACUACAACAUGUUUGAAAAAAAAAUCGCCAAUUUCGGUUUUGAAAUUUUAUUCCAAGGACAAACAUGGACAAAUCUUCUCAAAAAUGAGUCAUAUUUUUAACCUCUUCAAAUUUGACAAACACUACACGCACAUUCAAAAUCACCCAUUUUUUGUUAAAAUCGGACCCGCUAAGAAAUGAGUAAAUUGAGCUAAUGUCAGAUUUGAGUUAAAUUCACUAGGAAUUCAACGAAAUUUGAGUGAAUUUCGCCUGGAUCCGACAUUUGCCUCCUUUACUCAUUUUAGGAAGGGGUUCAUUUUUGACAGAAACUGAGUGAUUUGAAAUGCCGAAACCGAACUUGCUCACUUAUGAGUAAGUGAGACAAAUGUCAGAUUGGGGUGAAUUUCGCUCAAGAUUCUCUACAAAAUGAUUAUAAAUCAUGAUAUUUGAGACAAAUUUACGCAAAUCUGACAUUUGCCAUCACUUAUUUAUUUCUAAGUAGGUUCGGAUUAGACCGAUUUUUUGGAUUUCGGUUUAUUUUUUCAUUGUGAUCAAGAGCAAAUCGAUCGAAUUGAUAUCUUUGUAAAACUAAGCAUUUUUUCUCAAUUUAACAAGCAACACGCACAUUCAAUAAAACUCGAAUGUGGCGCAAUCUUCCUCACUGUGAUUCGACAAUUAAAUGCACUGGGAAAAGUUUACCGGUUACUUUUAUCAGAAAUUAAUACAGAUAAAAAUCAAAUUGCCGCUUGCCUUUUCAUUCAACAUUUCAAGCAAAACAGUGUUAAUGGACCAAAGACGAAGUGUAAAUAAAUAGGCUCACGUCAAAUGAUGUUUACAUUAGGAACGAAUAGACUCUUUGUUUACAUUUCGUCAUUUGUCUAAUUAAACUUCAAAUAAAAUACAGAAUAUCAGACAAUUCUCAAAAUUUCGAAAAAUUGCAAUAUUUCACAAGUAUAAAAUACCUGCUUCAAAAUGUUUUGUUUUUAAUUUUUGGGGCACGCAGAAAGUUACACGAUUCAAGGUCGAUUCAAUUUGACCUUAGAUCGUCUAGCUUUCUGCGGAUCUUACCCCAAACGAGUUACAAUGUUACAAUAGUACGUUCUAGAACUAAACUGCCAUCAACAGUUACGGUAUACCUCAUUUGAUCGCGUUUUCUCGUUUUUUAUUAGCUGUUAAAUAUUCUCACUAACGCGUUUUAUUUAAAACGAAGCAAGAAACCCCCUUUAAUCUUAAUCUUCCCCAACAAACCCAAACACAAAACACACACAGUCAUUAUUAUAAAAGUUAAAAACAAGCAAAAGAGAGAACCGCGAAAGAUUGAUGAAAUCAACUACCUCCAUUUAUAGCAAAGUAAAACAACAAACAAAUAGACAACAACAAAAACAAAUACGAAAUCAUAGUGAGAAACCGCGGGAGAGAACACGCAUUUAGAGACGAAAACUUCUACUGCAAAAGCGACCAGUUUUUCAGUUUCCAUCGGGAAAAUUAAUACCAUUUUCCACCUUUUUAAACCCUCAGUUUUCGAUUUGAUUACCCCACGUUUUGUGUGAACGCCACACCGCAAGCGGCAUAAUAAUUUAAAGUUUAACGUGUUUGCAACAGUUUGAAAAGAAAAAAAAAAGUUUGAGGAGAAAAAAGUAAACCUUUCGGAAUUCAUCAAAAUUAUCAGCAGAACGAGCUAGACGAGAGAGAAAUGUUUCGGAUUUUCAAAAAAGAGAAAGAACCAAAAUUUAAGCGAGCGAAAAAAGAGAGAUUUAAAGAAAAAGAGCGAGAAUAAACAACACAACCUUUGGCAAGCAAAAGCAAAACCAUUUCGGACGACAAAAAGAAGGAAGAAGAAGAAGAGUGGAACUUUAGGCAGCGGAAUCUAAAACCAAAAAAUGGCGAAAUAAAAAGAACAAAUGUUUGGACGUAAAAAAUCAACACACACAGGCGAGAAAAGUAAACCAAGUGCGAGCACUUUAAAAGUUUAAUUAUUAAGGAAGAGCAAUGAGAGAAGAUGACGAGAAAGGGUGGCAAGCAAGGAGAAAGGCUUAAAAAAACAUACCGUGAGAGGAGUUAAAAAUCACUCGAAAUCUCCUGUACAUAGUUUCUACGUGAAAAUUGAAAACAAAAGAAAAAAAUAAUACACACACAGAAAAACAUAUUAGUAUGCGAAAGUGGAAAAAAAGAAGGAAAGCGUUGCAAAUACACUAAAACAGUGAAGACAAAGCAAACAGAAGCUAUAAAAUAGCUUGAAAAAUUGAAAUUUAAUAAAAUUAAAUUUGAGGCAAAAACCGGCAAAGCGAAGAGAAAAGAAAAAAAGAGCGAAAAGCAGUGGAAGCAAAAUUAAGUAUAACCGUAAAAUGAAAAAAGUGAAGAAGAAGAAGCAAAAAAACCUAAUGUCUAGAGUGUAAAACUUUUUGAUGCGAAAAAAUUAAGUAACCAUACCCUUUAGAUUUAAAAAUUACUGGCAAAAAAAACAUAUAAAUAUAACACAUGGCAUAAUUAUAACUACUACUAAAUCUUACUUAAAAAUCCAAAAAACGAAAACAAAAAGUGUAAAGUGGUGACAAAAAGUGGAAACGUCGUGUAAAUAUAGUUCUGGACAGAAGCGGAUGCGAAAAACAAAAAAAAAAGAAAGGAAAUGUAAAGAGUAAACACAACACAAAAAGUUUAGGCUAAAUUCUGAGCGUAAAAUUUGAAAUAGGUAAACAAGCAAAGUUUCGGCUCCACUCCCAAUGAAAAACGAGAAACGAGAGACGAGUUUGAGUUUCGUAUACAUAUAUUUUCACCUUUGAGUUUAGAAAUCACAAACUUUUCGGCAUAAAGAAAGAAAAAAAAUGUUCCGAAAUCGUAAAUUUUUAAGCAAAAAAAAACUUAGUUAGAAAUGUUUAGGCAAAACGUUUUCAAAAUUAAACCAAUUAUUAAGCAAAAUUCUAAAUUCUAAAGUAAAACUAUUUCGUUGCUGUUUUUUGUUGGGCUAACUGAAAAUUUUUCGAGGAAAGUAAAAAUAACACAAUAACAGAAAAAGAGAGGAAAUAUCAUGCGAGUAGGAAGAAGACAAAAUUACACGAGUGAAGUAGAAAGAGAAGAAGAAGAGUAGGAGGGUGUGUCACCAAUUUACAUUGCGCUAAAUGAUUGUCAAAAUUUAACCUAGUUGUGCGGUUCAUUAAAAAUGAGAGUACAUUUUUUGGAGUAGAGUUAAAAAAACCAUUUCGGCACCUUUUUUCGGUCUUACGUUUUUUUUCAUCAAUUUUUCGGCAAAUUCCACAAGGAAAGAGAAGGAAGAAGAAGGAAAGAAGAGGACACGAGAGUCAGUUUUUUAAAUUACAAUUUUUCCAGCUUUCGAGGGGGCUGACACUGUCUCGGGUGUGACGUCUACGGAGACGCCGCCCUGCGUUCAGUAGUUUACACGUGCAAUUUAGAUGGUGGGAGGUUAAGCCGGGGUCACACCGGCGCGCAGGGUUCAGCCCCUGCCAGGUGUAUCUUUAAGGGUCAACUUUUUAAGCCUUUUUUCGAGCGAAAGUCGCUCGCGGAAGAGAGCGGAAGUAUUUUUUUCUGAGGUUUCGUUUUGUAGUUUGCUGAUUUUUUUGUUCGGUUUCGAUUCGGUUCUACAUUACUGUUACUUGUGAAACUGUGUAAAGUUCUAGAUACAUAUGUAAAAGAUGAAAAGAGGAAAAACUCAACUAGUCACACGUGCAACACACUCAGGUACAAUAAAAAAAACUCUAAGCGUUUAAUGUUAAGAAGAAAAUUUUGCGAAACUGUAAGAAAAAACACACUUUAAAGAUGAAAAUAACAAAGUAAAGUUACAUUAGCAGUAAAGUAAAGUCGGGUUUAGUUUCGUUCCCCUUGGUCGGGUUUAGUUUCGUUUCGUGUCCGGAAGGUGUUUAAAUAUCAGUUAAAUUUGUGCUUUUCUUUACCGUGUAGAAUGGUAGAGGAGAUCUAAUUUGUAAAAGUAGUUCUCUCAGCGCAAACAAACAAAAGAAAAUCAACAAAAAAAAAAAAGAGAUAGCGAUGCUGUAGGGAGUAAGAAACUAAGCUAAGCGAGGAAAAAAUAUACUUAAUGACACAAGUAAAUACGUAAACAAAACAAAGCCGAAAGGGCUUACUUUUAAAACAAACAAACGAACGACGAAUGAUGCAGUUACGAAACAAAUUCAAAAUUCAACACACAAAAUCAAACACAACUCAAAAUUGCAUGAACCUGCAAAACUUCAAGCGUAAGCGACUCAUUUUUGGAAUACUGAUUUAGGGAUUCAGUUUUUGGAGGAACAUUUUUGAAACAACACAAUUCUCAGAAGGUGAUUUCUCUGUUGAACGUGGCGAUCUUUGACUACUCUUCACGGAGUGACGCUCCCCUCGGAAACGUCAAUUUGACAGCCGAGGGGUGAUGCGCCAAAGUUCGCCACCAUCAACCGUAGCUCGCCUUCACCACCACACAAAACAAACGAAACAGGGUUGCCAGUCGCGCGCGCGCGUGAAAUCGUAACAAUGAGGCUAACCAAACCAGUUGGGCUAACGGGAAGGGCUUCCAAUCAAAACAAACACCCCCCACAGAAGCUAUUAUUACAUCGAGGAGGCUAAUUGACGGCGCGCCACAGUAGAGGCUCUCAUCACUUGUGCCAACCCUUCUCCGCUCAGCUGCAAAACGGCGGGCGCGCUGGCAACCCUGCCAGCAUAAAACAGAUAAAAAUAGUGAUGACGAAACUAUAUGCAAUAAGCUAGUCUAAUUUUGUUCACCCCUCACGUAUAUCCCCACAAACCUUAACACAAAACUGUUCCCUUGACGGAGAGUGGGCCCCUUUCCCCUUCGAUUGGACGACCCCUCGCGCACUGACAGCCGGGUGUCGCACCCCUCGCGACAACACAGCAAUAGACGGCGCGCGUAGCGCGCGCUUGUUUAUCAAAGUUUUAUCAUCAACCUGAAAGACUGCAGAUUACUGUUACCUCAUUUUUUGUACUAUACUAAACAAAACAAUAGCUUUUACUUAACUUUAGUUUUAACGAAGCCGAACCGAACCGACGUCGCGCGGGCGACGACGCCGAGCUGUCAAAAUUUCGCGUGCGAGGGGUUACUCGAUGGAGGAGAGGGGACUCUCGCGCCCUCGACGGGAACAGACCAACACAGCCUUAAAGAACUCUUAAAAGAUAUAGUUAAAGCAAGCAAAACAUAGUGAAAAACACCGUUGAAUUAGGAGUUAAGCUCAGUAUUCCUUGUUUUUAAUUUGUUCACCAGCGGCGCUCGCGAGACGGGAGGGGGCGUCGCGUCCCUCGCGCCAGCGAAAACGUCAACAGUUUGCAAUAGUUACGCAGUAAAGUGAAGGGAGCAGAAGAGAGAUACAGUUGAUUGAUAUGAGAAAUAGUUUAAACAAAUACAGAAGAAGCAAAUACAAUUAAAGGUAAUAGACGAAUUAUUUAUUGAAAAUAACUGCAUUUUUUUCUUCAAACAAUGGAAAACAGAAUCUACAAAACAGAAGAAGUAAAGUAAACAAAGCCGAUAAAAUAUUUACACAGCAUUUCUAAGGGAAGAAGAGAACAAAACAAAUAGAACCAUAUACAACAAAAAAAUAAAACAGUUAACGGUACCCUUAUACAGUACUGACAAUAGUUCAUUUUUGUGUAAACAAUAGUUAAGAGAGGAAACAGAAACAAAUCAAUACACAAACACACAGCUUCCAUGUAUGCGUUCAAAUUAUGGAUUUUGUUUACAGUCACAAACCAACACAUACAUACAUAAAGCAGUUUACAUAGUUAAAGUGACGAGUAUUUAUUGUUAUAUCUUUGACAAGCACACACACACACAAGAAAGACAACCGAUUGGAAUGUACGCUCACCAAGACAAACGCGCGGAAUAAGUUAUUCGGACGAAGCAAGUUGCAGAUCUGAACCCAAAUAUGCCAUUUUGUUUUCCACUUUAGACACACCCACACCCAAACCCACAGCUGAUCAUUUAUUUAUUUGUACAUACAUAGUUGUUAACACAUCCAAAUAAAUCCGACCUUGAAAAAGUUUACGUGACAGUUGUUAACAAUGGUAGUGUCGCGCCCCUCGGUUGUGCAAAUUCGCUGUCAGCUGUCAGUACAGCUGAUUGUUAACACGCUUGUCAAAAAGCAACACAGAUUUUUUCAAGACAGACCUUCUCACGAAUAAGUUAGUGAAUUUUACUCAGUUUUUACUCUUUUCUGAUUUACUCAUUCAUAAGAAGAGAUCUUUUUUUACGCAAUAAGAAUGAUUUUGAUGUGCUUGAGUAUUUCAAUCCAUUUUUCAAAUCAAACAAGCUUAACUUGAAAUUAAGAGUAAAGAUUAAUUCCAGGACAUUCAUUGCUGAACAUAUUUACCGAUUUUGACAGCUGUCAUUUGAAGCUCAUUUAUUGGUUCUUGCAACAUAAUCAGAUUGAACCUAUUGAACCUCAUUCAAAUUUGUGAUAAUAUUUACUCAAACUACAUUGUUUUGAUUAGGGGAAACCCAAAUUUGUGUUCUUGAAAAGCUCGCUCUGAGCGAUUUUCACUCAAGGGGAACGACACUAUAAAUUGUUCCACCUGUCACAAAUUCUUUUCAGCAAAAAGUGGAUACAUUACACACCUCACAGUCAAGCUUAAAAAGCCCCAAAUAACUAUUCCGCAACUGACAGACGGACCUGGACUAAAGACCGACACAUUUAGUUUCAUCAUUUAAUUGUGUUGUUAAACUGUCUUACUUACGCCAACCAACUAAGCCUACUUUUAGAAAUUGAUAAUUCAGAAAAUUUACGAUUUAACGUGUAGCAUCUAGUUUUUUCGAUCCCACCGGUUAAGUAAUAGAGAAAAAAUAGUUUUAAACAUCAAAUUUGAAAAAAAGUGUGUUUAAAUUUGCGCUAAUUUUACCUAAAUCGCAUCAUGCUCUCUCUGAAAAUUGCAGCAAGUCAAGCGAAAAAAAAAAAUCGAUAAUUUCUUCAAAUAAUAAGCAUGAAUAGCGAAGUUUGCAAACUUUUCGGCCCCCCUUUUACUGUCUAAAUUUAUCCGUUAAGUAACUUUAAAACAAUUAUUUGGGUUUCGGGAUUUUCAGCAACUUUUCUAGGGUUAUAAAAUUAACUUUCAUCGCAUUACAAACACACUGUCCCACACUGUCUGGAGGAGCAUUAACACACGUAAAUAAGUAGCGUUAGGCGAUCGGCAGGAUCUUCAAACUGCGCUUUUAGCAAGGUUAGCGUUAAGGUUUGGAACCGAAAUUUACGCAUUUUUUUUGUUGGUUCCAACAACCGUGUUACCAUUAGUUUGCUGUCAAAGCUGUAUAAUUUAAUUUAAAACUGCACGCAUUACAAAUAUGUAUCAUGUAUAAAUUAUGAAUGCCCAAUGCCGUCACGAGAGUUCACAAUCCGUACUACUACUAAACUUUAGAAACCCUAAGUGAGGCUCAACAGAGUUGGAGUCGUAACUACAGCAAAUAUUAAAAGGUUUAACUUGCGCUAAGUGAAAUAUAUACAUAUAUACGUGUACAUUUAUGAGUUUAACAAACCACCACCCUCAGGGAGAGAAAACAGAAAACGGGUCGGGAAAGUGGAGCUCAUUUGUUUCCAAAACAGAAAAAAAUAUAUAUAAAGUACUAAAUGGCAAGCGAAAAAUGAUAAUCUUCAUUUUUAUAAGUUAUUUUUAAAAAGGAAAACAAAAAAACACAUGUGUAUUUUAUUAAGUUUUCGUAAGUUUACCAUCCUUGUUUUUAAGUUUAUAAUUUAUCGGCUUAAGUUUUUUUUUCGUGUAAAAAAGAUGAUUCUUGUGCACAACCGAUUGAAAGCCUUCGAACGCGUUGGAGUGAAAACUAAAAGUUUAAAAUGGUCCGCGUGCGCGAUGUUUUUCACGAAAGUGGUGCAAAUCACACAAGAAGCGACACGUCCAA